rfam:Herbaspirillum seropedicae SmR1, complete genome.
UGUCUCCUCCAAUUUCCUCCUAAAGAAUUGGAUUCAAGCCCGCAACUUCGGUUGUGGGCUUUUUUUU